UACACCGCCCCUUUUCCUUUCUAACCGCGGCUCUCAACGGCAGCGUCUCCUGUCCGUCCCGGCGCGGCGGCGGCUCCUCCUGGGCGUCCCAGCGCGGCGGCGGCGGGUUCACUUCGCGAGGCGGAGCGGCGCCGCCAUUAAUCGCGGCGGCUCGGGGCGCCCUUGGUCGAGGCGGCUCAGCGGCCCCUUGAUCUUCUCGCGACAGCACGCGGCCCAUCGUCACUGAACGGCGGCGCCAGGUGCCUCCUCGCGGUGGGACUGGUGGUGCAAGCCAAAGGGUCUUAACUUACAACACGUUACCGUCUUUAACCUUUCUCCUGUGGGUUUCAACCAUACUCCAAGUCUCUAAGCCUUCUCCGAACCCUCAAAACCCAUCUAAUACCCCCAGUGUAGCCGAAACUACACUCCUUUUCUAGGUGUUAGUUUUCGUCUACACUACCACACUAAUGAAGUGCGAUCAAACAAACAAGGUUACUUCCGGUAGCUUCCUUUUUGGUUUGUCUAGUACUUGGUUUUGCAUAAUCUCGUCUUUGUUCUUGGUUAACAUUCCGAGUACACUAACAAUGUAUACUAGCUCAACGGUUGUUAAAACUUCAGUGGCUUCAACUAAACCUCGUGUUAGUGGUGGAAGUUAACGGUGUUUGGACGGUGAACAAUCGUAGUGUUUCCUUCUAAAGUCUUCACGUUCGAAAGCUCUAUCUUUAUCGGCUACUAAGACCUUAAUACGGUUUUCGAAGUGUACUCAUACGAACAGCAGAUCAACCACCGGGAUUGUUGGAACCAAUGUGAACGGCACUGGCUUUCUUGGUAAACGCUUCGUUCGCCGUCGCCCUCAACCGAAUACCUGUCCGACCUUCAUACAACUUAAUAAAAGCACUGUUCGUCCGACUCUUACGUCGUAAGGUUAUGGUAAACGUCAACCUAUCACUCCUCGUAUAUCGGUUGUAUAAGACCCAACUACGAUUUUACGAUGAACUGAUACGUGUGAAACCGCUACAACAGUGUAAACUGUGAUGUAAACCGUGUUUGUUUCUCAUAUCCGGUAAACCAUAAAAAGAACCCGAUUUGAUAAAGUCUUUUUGUUAGUAAAAACCACGACGUAACUACAAGCUACUUUGUGCACUGAGGAAAUAUACCGAGAAACUCUGAAAAGAUCGGCGUGUAUUACCUUCCGUUGGAUCUUGAUAGAUAUGUCUAGUUCUACAACGUUACCCUUUUAGGUAUCUUUUCCAGAAGUGUCUUAGUAUAGUACCUAACACGUGGAAGGUAUAUUACGUUUUACGACAGUUUGUGAAUUGAAGACACUUCCCGCUUCUUUUUCUACCUUCACCUUCUCUCUCUACUUCACCUCCUACUUCUUUUUCUCGGAGUAUAAGAGUGUCUAAAACCACGAACAUACAUACCGAUACUUCUGUUCCAUCGUAAACUUCUUCGCAACGGUUAUACUCCGAGUUUCACGUAUUCGUUUGAACCAAUCUAUCAUAGAUGUUCCACUUUCUUUUUACCCGGCUUACAAUAUACUCUCUACAGAAAUCGAACCCUCACUCUUCAUGUGUUAAUUCACUCUCGAAGUUGUUACGUAACUUUUUAGUAAACUUUAGUCUAAAAGUAUAAGAAGCUAAGAACUACGUAAAACUCUCCUGUUACCGCCAUUUUUCUUCUCGACUUAAUCUUAGACUUAAGCUACGUUAUUUCUUAUAUGGUUAUUAAUUCUACUUCUGAGGAUACAACCAUCUUCGUUCGCUUCAUAUGUGAGGCUAAUAAAAACUCCGAAAGGUUCCACUCAUACUUUCUAGUUGCCGACGUACAACAUCUCGUAACCUACCUUUAUUGUCUAAACAACAACGAUAACGCUCCAACGUACCUCUAAAUGUCAAACUCCUCCUCGCGUAUCACCAUCCACUAGGAAACUGGUUUUGCCAGAGUACAUCAACACCCUACAAGUUAUCCUGUCCUUAGAACACACGUGUACCAGAUUUUCACGAACUAAACUACUUGUAUUUCUGUAACGGCCGUGUAAUACAGAACUUCUCCACCUGAUCUCUUCGAGCGUCACCUUCAUAAGUUCUAUCUGUUCCUUCCUUACACCAUCUUUUAGGUUUUUACCUUCGACUUGAAGCUAUGUUCCUAAACAGAGUAUUUAAAGUGUUUUACCGUGUUUUUCGUCGGUUGAGAGGUGUUACAACAUAAGAUAACCUAUUACGUGAACUAAGGCAGCGAGGCGUAUAUGUACUAAAUGGGUUACGUAGGUGAUCACGGUACUUACUUGAUACAUUUCUGUUUCUCUUACAAACUGGGUUUACACGUCGUUCAUCUACUCAACGAAUCUAGACGUGCCGACUUCUUUUUUCUCCAAGUCAGUUUCUUGAAUUCCUCUUUCUUUUUAACCGAACUAUUCAAUGAGUUCCCCUUCGUGUCUCAUUGAUUUCCUGGUUGUUUUGUCCCUCUUUUCGGUGUUUCCUUCUUCUUACCACACGUUGUUUUCUUUUUUCUACCACACGUCGGAGUUCAUCUUCACCUCUUCAUACUGUUGUUGUUUCUUCAUUUAAACCACGAAGUUCUCACGUUAUUAUAAUACUCAAAGUGGGUUGAGAACUGCCGACUGGUACCUUCGAGGAAUCUAUUAUAAAACAUGUACCACCACUACUACUACUAAUAGACAAGAUCGUACCUUGAACAAUCUAUGUCAUCAUAAAACCUGUACCAAUUGAUAUCAUCAUACCCCAAUUGAUAUAAUAAAACAUCGGAUUCACAUGUUCGUUCACCAUGACUUAAACCUACAUAACUGGAAAACUUAAUGUUCGUUCACCAUGACUUAAAGUUAGUUC
rnacentral:rRNA from 1 species